rnacentral:rRNA from 1 species
UACGGAGGAUCCAAGCGUUAUCCGGAUUUAUUGGGUUUAAAGGGUGCGUAGGCGGCCUGUUAAGUCAGGGGUGAAAGACGGUAGCUCAACUAUCGCAGUGCCUUUGAUACUGAUGGGCUUGAAUGAACUAGAGGUAGGCGGAAUGAGACAAGUAGCGGUGAAAUGCAUAGAUAUGUCUCAGAACACCGAUUGCGAAGGCAGCUUACUAUGGUUUUAUUGACGCUGAGGCACGAAAGCGUGGGGAUCAAACAGG